AGAGAGAGAGAGAGAGAGUUUCUUUAUAUAGAGAAAAUACUGUCAAGGAUUGGUUAUCUUGAAGUGGCUGGGCACAAAAUCUCAUAAUAGUGACCAGCUAAUCUUUUGAUUUAAGCUCAUACUGUGCAGGAUUACAAUUAACAGGUUGGGCAAAAUUAUUACAAACAAUAAAGUUUAACAUCACAAUUGAUAAAAUUAAUAGCAGUUGUCAAAAUGGCAAAUUUGGUUUAAGUUUUAAUGGGUGAAAUAUAAUGAAAGAACAAGGGGGUACUGCUCAAUUACAUAAGGAAAUUAUUUGCAUUAUAGAGAUUCAGCAAUACCUUAGAAUUUACAUCCUUCAAAAGCGUUCUCAAAAUACUGUCCAUUAUACUUAAAAUUCAGUUGACUUGCCUUUUAAUAGUUAUUAUCAAGUUGACUUAAAAAAAAUGUUAACAAGUUGUGAUUUAUUCAGUUUUUUGGUGAAUAGCAGUUAUUCAAGCUGCCCCCAAAAGACAUGGUGGGAUUGGGGUCUGAAUAUGGAAAAGUAGAUUCAAGUUUUAUUUUCGCUUUCAUCCAAUUUGGCUUCCUUUGCUGUUGGCACUUUCUGUAUUGUUUAGUUGGGAACUUCCUAGUUCCAUGUCAAUGUGGCUUAGUUCUUGCUGUUGUAUUUGCCAG
rnacentral:misc_RNA from 1 species